UGUUAUCAAUACAAUGUUAUCGAUUGUUUUCGUUCUCUCCAUAGCUGUGUCCAGAGGCGUCCGGGUAAUUUUCAGAUGGAGGAUAAAAUAAAACUAAAUUCCGAAACCUAUUUAAAGUAUGUUGGUACUAAGUUGGUAAUCCUUGAAAAGGAAUGAGGAAGAAAGUAUAUGCAUAAUCGUGUAAACAUUACUUUAGCGAUCAGCAAAAGUCUAUGGUUAUCAUCAUCGAUAUAACGAAUAUAAUAACAUUUAUUUUGAUGGAUUUAAAGCAUACGUAAUUUUUUUUUUGUUUUUAAUAAUUUAUUAUUAUUUAGGGGGGGGUGGUCCCUCGAAUGGACGACCAGUUGUGUCAAUUGUAUACGGUCUUAUUUAAGG